rnacentral:tRNA from 1 species
GGAAAUAGCUCAGUGGUAGAGCGCAUGCAUAAUAUGCAUGAGGUCCUGGGUUCAAUCCCCAGUAACUCCA